rnacentral:rRNA from 1 species
UCGAGCGAGCGGACUAACAGAUUUACUUCGGUAAUGACGUUAGGAAAGCGAGCGGCGGAUGGGUGAGUAACACGUGGGGAACCUGCCCCAUAGUCUGGGAUACCACUUGGAAACAGGUGCUAAUACCGGAUAAGAAAGCAGAUCGCAUGAUCAGCUUUUAAAAGGCGGCGUAAGCUGUCGCUAUGGGAUGACCCCGCGGUGCAUUAGCUAGUUGGUAAGGCAAAGGCUUACCAAGGCGAUGAUGCAUAGCCGAGUUGAGAGACUGAUCGGCCACAUUGGGACUGAGACACGGCCCAAACUCCUACGGGAGGCAGCAGUAGGGAAUCUUCCACAAUGGACGCAAGUCUGAUGGAGCAACGCCGCGUGAGUGAAGAAGGUUUUCGGAUCGUAAAGCUCUGUUGUUGGUGAAGAAGGAUAGAGGUAGUAACUGGCCUUUAUUUGACGGUAAUCAACCAGAAAGUCACGGCUAACUACGUGCCAGCAGCCGCGGUAAUACGUAGGUGGCAAGCGUUGUCCGGAUUUAUUGGGCGUAAAGCGAGCGCAGGCGGAAGAAUAAGUCUGAUGUGAAAGCCCUCGGCUUAACCGAGGAACUGCAUCGGAAACUGUUUUUCUUGAGUGCAGAAGAGGAGAGUGGAACUCCAUGUGUAGCGGUGGAAUGCGUAGAUAUAUGGAAGAACACCAGUGGCGAA